AGAGUUUGAUCCUGGCUCAGGAUGAACGCUGGCGGCAUGCCUAAUACAUGCAAGUCGAACGAGAGGAAGGAGAGCUUGCUUUCCUGAAUCUAGUGGCGAACGGGUGAGUAACACGUAGGUAACCUGCCCAUGUGCCCGGGAUAACUUCUGGAAACGGAUGCUAAAACCGGAUAGGUAGCAGACAAGCAUUUGACUGCUAUUAAAGUGGCUAAGGCCAUGAACAUGGAUGGACCUGCAGUGCAUUAGCUAGUUGGUGAGGUAACGGCCCACCAAGGCGACGAUGCAUAGCCGGCCUGAGAGGGCGGACGGCCACAUUGGGACUGAGACACGGCCCAAACUCCUACGGGAGGCAGCAGUAGGGAAUUUUCGUCAAUGGGGGGAACCCUGAGCGAGCAAUGCCGCGUGAGUGAGGAAGGUCUUCGGAUCGUAAAGCUCUGUUGUAAGAGAAAAACGACAUUCAUAGGGAAUGAUGAGUGAGUGAUGGUAUCUUACCAGAAAGUCACGGCUAACUACGUGCCAGCAGCCGCGGUAAUACGUAGGUGGCGAGCGUUAUCCGGAAUGAUUGGGCGUAAAGGGUGCGUAGGUGGCAGAUCAAGUCUGGAGUAAAAGGUAUGGGCUCAACCCGUACUGGCUCUGGAAACUGAUCAGCUAGAGAACAGAAGAGGACGGCGGAACUCCAUGUGUAGCGGUAAAAUGCGUAGAUAUAUGGAAGAACACCGGUGGCGAAGGCGGCCGUCUGGUCUGGAUUCUGACACUGAAGCACGAAAGCGUGGGGAGCAAAUAGGAUUAGAUACCCUAGUAGUCCACGCCGUAAACGAUGAGAACUAGGUGUUGGGGGAAUAACUCAGUGCCGCAGUUAACGCAGUAAGUUCUCCGCCUGGGGUGUAUGCACGCAAGUGUGAAACUCAAAGGAAUUGACGGGGGCCCGCACAAGCGGUGGAGUAUGUGGUUUAAUUCGAAGCAACGCGAAGAACCUUACCAGGCCUUGACAUCCCUUGCAGAGGUAUAGAGAUAUAUCCGAGGUUACCAAGGAGACAGGUGGUGCAUGGUUGUCGUCAGCUCGUGUCGUGAGAUGUUGGGUUAAGUCCCGCAACGAGCGCAACCCUUGUGAUAUGUUACUAACAUUGAGUUGAGGACUCAUAUCAGACUGCCGGUGAUAAACCGGAGGAAGGUGGGGAUGACGUCAAAUCAUCAUGCCCCUUAUGGCCUGGGCUACACACGUACUACAAUGGCGUCUAC
rnacentral:rRNA from 1 species